GGAAGUGGCGCCUCCGAGAGCCAGAGGCGCCGCCACCCCUCGGUGAGCUCCAAUGCGGCCCCUUGGGACCUUCUGGAGGCGGCUGCUGGUCGGCGGGAGACGCGGAGGACGUCACCGCGGGUCGGUGCUUCCUUGCAGGUGCCUUCUGGACCGGGGGCCGCGGCACCUCCCCUGCUCCUGCCCUCGGCGCCGGACCCUGAGCCCUGGGAGCCCGCCUACCUCGGUGUCCCCGCCGUCCCGGCCUCCGGCCCGGAAGGCAGCCGUCCCGCGGGCUGCGCGCGGCCCGGGGCGACUCCGGCGUGGGAAUGCGGCGGAAGGGAAGCACCCGCCGGGAGGGCUGGACCCCGGAGGCUGCAGAGCGUCAGAAGCGACUCUAGGGAACUAGGGGUGGGGUAGGGAGGCGGGGACGUGGAAUAAAGAAAGCUCUUGGGUGCGGGCUAUGAAAAGUCAGGUAUGCGUAGGCGUGGACAGAGGGCUGAUGUGGGAGUUUGGACACCUGGAUUUUCUGGUCGGGGCUCUGUGUCCUUGGAAGGAUUUUGUUGGAUUUGUUUGUAUCAACUGUGUGACUAUCACCUGUAUUUUCAGUGGCACUACAAUGGCUCAUCUACCGUGCAUAAGAUGGGGUCGGCUAAUUCAUCAAGCCUUCAGACUCAAACUGAAAUAUCAGCUCUUCUUGGGUCUUCAGCCUGCCAGCUUUCUGACUGGAAUUUAUACCAUCAGCAUCCCUGGUGUUUAGGCCUUCAGACUUGGACGGAAGCUACAUAACAGCUUUCUUAGGUCUCUAGCUUGCAGACUGCAGACCUUGGGACUUACCAGCCUCCACAAACAUGUUUUUAUACAAGAAAAGUUAAAACAUAGCAA